UCGUAUUCGUAUUUUGUCGGCUCUCUUCGGCUCUCCGACUAAUCGGCCAUAGCUUUGCUCGCUCGCUGGCUGCGGAACUUCAUUCAUUCGCGCUGCGCGUCUCGUCUGUACCGGUUGCCUCCUGGCUCUCUCCUGCCUCACCUCUCUCCGCCCGCCGCCCACCACCCCCUCACUCACACAAUUGUUUAGCAAAGACAAAGGCAGUAACACACACACACUCAGUGCUCCAGCGAAAUAAGUGCAAAAAUCAGAGAAAAUAUUCAAAAUCCAAAGCGAUUAAAAUAUACAAAAAGUGAACAAUCAGCCAAAGAAGUCUGGGGCCCAGCCAAUGCGUCAUUCCCGCAGUCAGUCGCUCAAUCCGGCAACAAGAGCUAUCGCCACAGACACUCACUCACACUCACUGGCACAGCUGCAAUUACCAAGUGCGAACGGCAGGCCAGACAUCGCACACAUACACGCAUACACCCAUACAGUCGAACAUCUAUAAACCCAGAAAAGGCAUUAUAGAACCGAGAUUUUACUGAAGAGAUCGGAAGUGAAGCGCAGGGCAGUGCGGUUCUUCGAAACAAGUUCCUAGAAUUUAAAUUACUUACUAGAAAGUACGUUAAACUUGGCAUUUGGCUGAAAAGUACCUUUAGAAAUGGGCCAAUAGCUCUGUUCUCCAGUGAAGUUAUAAUAUGGUUGGUCAGUUGUAGUUCUUACUGAAUAAAUACAGUGAAAUCUUAGCUAUCUUGUCGUGCAAGGAUAAUAUUAUGGAAAUUUCUAGAGUUAAAUUUACUGUGUGUGAAAGUAUACAAAACUGGGCGAUAACCAUAUCUUUGGUUGGUUAAGUAUUGACAAAGGUCCAUAAAUCUUUAGGUAUUAGCAAAACACCAUGCUGCCCUGUAAUGCCUUUAAGAACUAGCAAACAAUCAGAAUGCUCUAAUAAGGCUUUAAUUUACUAAGUAGCUUGUUUGAAAUUCUUAUAUUUCAAUGCUUAUACCUUGUUAUGCAGGAUAUGAUUAUAAAGCCAGUUACGCAUGAUUCUGAAGCGGCUCAGACAUGUAGGGAGUUUAGCCUGAACGCUUUAGGCCCAUUCAAGGCUAUUCAAAAUCAGACUAGUAAUACCAGCUUUGGCGGAUUUUCCCGCUGUGUAGAUUGGCAGACAGAAGGCAGACUGUAACCGCUGUGGGAGGCGCGUCGAACAGUUAUCAGCCUGCGACUCAAAGUCAAACUCAAACUCAAGCCCAAACCCAACCUCAGAAACAGAAACAGACUCAAAAUCAGACUGCGGCUGAAACUGAGACGCCGCUGCCGGCGUUGUUGUCUGGAAUUUAACACACACAAUACACACACCGAUACACCUCCACUCCGCCACUCCGCCACACCGCCACACACGCCCAUUUGCACACAUGGCCAACCGGAUGUUGCAGCCAUCUUUGUCAUCUUUUUCAAUCUCAGCCUUGGCUAAGGUCGCUCCUGCCACCCGAUGCCCCCCAUUCCAUUAGAUUCCGUUCAAAGCCAUCCAAGUUGCCCGAAAGAGACGGGGCAAGAAAGAGCCGAGUGGCUGCCGUGAAGUCGUGAAUUUAUAACAAAACGCUAGACUCGGCGACUCUGACCGACUGGUUUGGCGUGUUGGCCCGGCUAAAAUGAAUUUUUUAUGGCUACAACAAGCAAACAGAACAGCAACAACUGAAUCAAAAGCAUAAAAAUGCCGCAACCCGAAAACCCGCAAGCCCGCAACACGAAAUUCUGAAUGGGCACCAUCUGAAUUUUCGAAAAUUGAACGAGCCAGUUGGAGAGUUGGCCAAUAGAGCGAGAGAGAGAGGGACAGAGCGAGAGUGAGAGGGAGGGGAAGAGGACCGGCGAUAAGGAAGAAGCGGAGAUGUCUUUUGGGGUCUGUUGGCUUGGCAAAGAUGGAAAUCUUAAUGCAGACGGAUGGAUGGUAAUGGAAAUGGAGAUGGAGAUGGAGAUGGCAAAGGCAAAGGCAAAGUCGAGGAACACAACUCAGGCACUUCCGCAAUGAAUGGCUCAACUCCUGACUCCAGAACCGACUUGACUCCGGGAUCUUGGCACAACUCGAGUCGGACGCUUCAGAUAAGACAAGGAUGAAAUCCCUUUGGAUAUCUGGAUGCGAAUCAGUGCCCUGGCACAAUGGCAGUUAUGUCGGAGCCAGCUUUUCCUCCUCAACUCACUCCCAUCGAAGCGUGCAGAAAAAAAUAAAAGCACUGCUGCUGGCUUUCUUGGA